rnacentral:pre_miRNA from 1 species
UAUAAUAUUUGACUCUUCGUUUUAUUUAAAAUUUUUUAUGAUUAAUAUUUUUUAUUAUUAUUAGAUGAUAAAAUAUAAAUAGUAUUUUACGCGUAACUAAUUUUUUUGAGCUUUUUAAUAAUUUUUUAAUAAAACAAAUGGUCAAACGCUGGACACAAAAACCAAAAACUG